CAGACGAUCUUUUUGGUUCGCUGCUGGAGUAGAGAUGACCGCCGAGGGGUAGACGAGCAGAGUUUUCACAUUUUACAUACUGACGAGACUUCCAUAACAAACUCUUCACUUUAUAAACUGCUGAGGCAUCAUUUUCUUCUAUUGUCUACAAGGCCUUGGGCCUCAUUGGUCUGAUAGCAAUGGUACUUAUUCUGGGCAGAAGACUGAACCGGGAGGACUCUGGAGUCCGUGAGUCCCCAGCAGUCAAGCGAAAGGUUCUGGAGAUGGACAACAAGUCACUCAGUAAUCAUGAAGUGUUUGAUUUCUCCUCCGGCCCCUGCCACUCCGAGAGCAUUCUGCAGAUGUUUAAUGAGUUCCGUGACGGCCGAUUGUUCACGGACGUGGUGAUCAGUGUGGAGGGUCGUGAGUUCCCGUGUCACCGUGCCGUGUUGUCAGCUUGCAGUAGCUACUUCCGUGCAAUGUUCUGCAAUGACCACCGGGAGAGCCGUGAGAUGUUGGUGGAGAUCAACGGCAUCCGUGCUGAAGCCAUGGACACCUUCCUUCAGUACGUCUACACCGGACGUGCCCGCAUCACUACAGAUAAUGUGCAGUUCCUCUUCGAGACCUCCAGCCUCUUCCAGAUCAGCACUCUGCGUGAUGCUUGUGCCAAAUUCUUGGAAGACCAACUUGACCCCUGCAACUGCCUGGGCAUCCAGCGUUUCGCCGACACGCACUCCCUCAAGCAACUGGCCAGUCGCUGCCGCUCUUAUGCACUACAGAGCUUUACCGAUGUGGCCCAGCAUGAAGAAUUCUUGGACUUGCGUAAGGAGGAACUGGAGGAGUACAUCGCUAGUGACGAGCUAGUCAUUGGAAAGGAGGAGACCGUGUUUGAGGCAGUGAUGCGUUGGGUUUACUACGAUGUGGACCACCGUCGAAUCAUGCUUAGAGACCUUCUCAACCACGUCCGACUGCCCCUGCUGCAUCCAAAUUAUUUCGUGCAGACGGUAGAAGGUGACCAGUUGAUCCAAAAUGCACCAGAGUGCUAUCAGCUCCUGCACGAAGCCAGGCGCUAUCAUGUCUUGGGCAAUGAAAUGAUGUCACCUAGAACCCGUCCACGCAGGUCUACUGGAUUCUCAGAAGUCAUUGUGGUAGUCGGAGGGUGCGAGAGGAUGGGGGGUUUCAACUUGCCGUAUACUGAAUGCUAUGAUCCGGUAACUGGGGAAUGGAAAUCCUUAGCCAAACUCCCAGAGUUCACCAAGUCAGAGUAUGCUGUGUGUGCCCUCAGGAACGACAUUCUGGUCUCAGGUGGUAGAAUCAACAGCAGGGAUGUCUGGAUGUACAACUCCCAGCUCAACAUCUGGAUCAGGGUUGCCUCCUUGAACAAGGGCCGCUGGAGACACAAAAUGGCAGUUUUGUUGGGAAAGGUGUAUGCCGUUGGUGGAUAUGACGGUCAAUCACGACUAAGCAGCGUCGAAUGCUACGACUCUUUCUCAAACCGCUGGACAGAGGUGGCAUCCAUGAAGGAGGCUGUCAGCUCACCAGCCGUCUCCAGUUGUGUCAACAAACUAUUUGUGAUUGGAGGAGGACCUGACGAUAACACAUGCUCAGAUAAGGUUCAGUGCUAUGACCCAGAGUCUGACUCCUGGUUGCUAAGGGCCAACAUCCCCAUCGCUAAGCGCUGCAUCACGGCCGUAUCACUGAACAAUCUCAUCUAUGUUUCUGGAGGCCUGACCAAAUCCAUUUACUGUUAUGACCCCACUGAAGAUUACUGGAUGCAUGUGGUCCACACAUUCAGCAGACAGGAAAGUUGUGGUAUGUCGGUAUGUAACGGAAAGAUCUAUAUCCUGGGUGGCCGUGGUGAAAAUGGAGAGGCAUCAGAUACAAUCCUGUGCUAUGACCCGUCCACCGGCAUCAUAACGGGCGUGGCCGCCAUGCCCCGCCCUAUUUCUUACCACGGCUGCGUCACCAUCCACCGCUACAAUGAGAAGUUCUACCAUUCAUGACAUUAAAAAAAAGCACACUCACUGACUCACACAGGGACGUGGAUAAACUGAGCCGGACUAUAGAUAACGUAGCAUUAUGUUAGGUAAGGUGAGUCCAGUUCACAAGCUUUGAGACCAGUCAGUUAAACUGACAACUACAUAAUAACUCAUUUCAGUGUACAGUAUAAACAUUCUAUCAUUUACUCAUCCUCACGUCGUUCCAAACCCAUAUGACCUUUCUUCUAAAGAAAACAAAAGAAGAUAUUUUAGACAAAAUCAAAUUAGACCCCAACUUCAUUGUAACAUUUUUUUUCUUAUAUCUUCUUCCGGCCUUUAUAGUCCGAUACAGAUUGUGUAUGGAUUUGCAUAUUUCCAUAUCCGUUACCCAAAUACUUCUAAACUGAUUGACAGCUGAUUGUGAAUUCUAGCUGGUCUCUGAUCUCUCAACCUCACUUGUUGUUCCCGUCAAUUAAACGUCUUUAUUUGUUUCUUUUCCCCACUUCAUUACUAUUAUUGCAUUUUAUAUUGUAUUUUAAUGUCUGGUGUAAGUUGUUUUGAGUGGGUUAACGGCGUGAUUAUUUGUGUCUGGUGGAUAGAGUGUUCGAUUGUGAUAAAUCCAUGUGUAUAUAAGUGUGUUUGAAAAGAUUCAGCUGGAUGUGUGUGCGUGACAGACGGACACAGAAUAUGCAGGAACUACUUCUUGUUGAGCUCCCAUGUCUAAUGGGUAAAUGGUUCACAACAAUCCAUCAGGCACCGAAAAUUAUUGUAUUUCUUUUAAUAUUUCUUUACGUAUGCAUGUAUGUAUUUGGGUGAUAUUAACUGUUUUCUGUAUUUUGUAGUAGAAAUUGUGGCUAUCAUGACAUUUAAAGAAAAAAACGUGUGUUUUAUUAUGUGUUUGCUCUUUUAUAGUAAUGCCAUCCAUAUGAAGCAUUACUGUUGAUUAGCCUCUGUAUAAUUAUUCUGUAUCAUUUAGUAACAUGCUUUCUUGCAUAUCAUGUAGAAUACAAGCAAAGAUGUCUUGUUUAUAAGUGAAUCAAAUAAUGUUCUUUCACUUUAAGUUAUUUAUUCUUUAUGGAUGUUUGAAUGCCCCAACCAGGCACUUAAGUCAAUAUAUCGCAGUGUCCCCGAUGUAAAUAUGAAUUUGAUAAUCCUUCUUCAGGUUUACUGUAUCAGUAAGUGUUUGCAGUGGUGAAGCAUCAGGCCAAAUGGCCAGUUCACACUCUCAGCUCCCAUAAAACUCUUCCUUUUUUGUUCUCACAAUAAUCUAAGCUUAGUAUUUGUGUGUACACUGCAGUGACGUAGCAGCAAAAGAUUGUGUGUUUGUGCUCUGGGGAGCAGUGAUGUCAGCUCUGUUGCCUGCUUUUGGUGAGCAGGAUUGUUUAGUUUUGUCAGCUGCAAGACCAGAACAAUAGAGGACACACAUUGUUCGUUUUACUCUGGGAAUUGUACAAUGCAACUGCAAGACCCUGCACAUAUAUGCACAUAACGCAGCAUGGCCUUUCUAUAACCUUUUUGAGUGUAGUUUUUUUUGGUGUGUAGUUUUAUGACCGUGUGUUUGUGUAAAUAAAUGGUGUGAGUUUGGUGUCUUUUUGUUAUAUAGGCUUGUUUUUUUCUGAUAACUUUCAGUUGCUAAAAGCCAUAAACGGAAUGUUUUUUUUUUUGUUUAAUUUUACAAUGUUUCUUUUUGAGCGAGUCCUUAUACACUUUAUCUGUGCAUGGCAAAAACUAUAUAACUCGUAUGGCAAGAAAAAUAAAUGAUUGUUAUGGAGAAGAUGCGCCUUUAGCGCUAAUUAGUGAUGGCAGAGAAAAGUGCCAAUUUAAGAAAAUAUUACUUAAGUGCAUUAAAAGAAAUGACUAUUUUGUGCCUUGUGGUGGAAUGAUACACAUUUGACAACUAGCCAAAGAUGUGUGAUUGUUUUUUUCUGUUAAUUCCAGUACAAUAUUGUAAAAGAAACUGCCAACCUUUUAUGUCAUAAUAUUACAUGUGUUAAACUGUCGCUAAAAUGUUCUUGUUCUGAGUACCUGAAAUGUACAAGAGCUUAAUGUGGUGUACAUGCAUACAUUUCUUCAAUAAAGCUAU